GUUCUUGAAUAGUUCAAAACAGUUGGUUCUUCUACUUGAAUGUAUGAUUCCGUAUUAGUAACUAUAUUUUACAAAUCGUUGUAAAAGUGUGACUAAUAAGAAGUAGAAGAUAUAUGAGAGAAGAAAAGGUGCUUCACAUACGGAACGUGAAUAAGAUAUAGAUCUCUACGAAAGCAGAUAGUACUUACUUCCUCAUAUGAACUACCAAAGAAAUUGGAUUAUAGUAAUCUAAUUGAUUGUCUCUAUAGUAGAGAUGAUAUGGUAGUGUUAACUGUUUAGAAUAUAAUGAUGCUUAAAACCCAAAAGGUUGCAAGGUAGUGACUAAUCCCAACAAAAGUUGUGAUACCUCUCAAACAUAAAUUACGAGUUGGUAAUAAAUGGAUGCUUUGGAUUGUUAGAUCCGGAUCCAAUACCUUCUUGUUAAAAUUGUAUAGAGGCGAAAUGUUCGAAUCUUUAUUCUUUUGGAAAGAAGAAAGAAUCACAAAGUUGUUGAGGUCAAUUCACUUAAAUGUUAGUGGCACUUGUCCACAAACAUAAUAUUACUCAUGUUGAAUAACAUUCA
rnacentral:lncRNA from 1 species